AAAGAUCGAAUGGGGAGAUUCAUCGACAACGAGGCUGGCUUCCGUUGAUGCGCGAUGCCCCGAAUGGACCUUCGUGGUUCCAAUGCGAGGGCACACCAUCUUCGGCAAAUGUUCCGGCUACGUAAUCGUGCACUUCUCCCCUGGUAGAACGUCGCGACCCGUUGCGUGUCGGUCUACGGCUCGAGUUUGUUGACUGCCGUGUCGCUUCGGGCGUACACGGUAGACGCUCGAACGCCUGGCCGGCUGUGCGACGGUACGCUGUGACGGUAUCGGGCCGCAACCAAUCCAUUUUCGAAUGUGAGUGUGCGUCGGGCCCGCCGCAAGCUCGGUUAGUAAUUACCCAGAUGGUACGGACCUGGUGCCGGCUCUGGGCCUAACCAGCUGUUAGCAGGCGGUGUCCUCGGACUGGCCAAGCUUUGAAUUACCGGUCAGCGACGCUACUGCUUUGGGUACUCUCAGGACCCGUCUUGAAACACGGACCAAGGAGUCUAACAUGUGCGCGAGUCAUUGGGACUCGUUUAAACCUAAAGGCAUAAUGAAAGUGAAAGUUGACCUUUGCGUCGACCGAGGGAGGAUGGGCCGCGUCACGAUGCGGCCUCGCACUCCCGGGGCGUCUCGUUCUCAUUGCGAGAAAAG
rnacentral:rRNA from 1 species